UCAUCGAUAGCUCAAUUUCUAGAGUGGGGGACGGUAGGUCAACAUUGCAGAGAAGGAUAUCCUUAGGUCGCUGGUUCGAAUCCAGCUCGAUGGA
rnacentral:tRNA from 1 species